rnacentral:rRNA from 1 species
AAAUAAAGACCCGUAUGAAUGGCUAAAUGAAUAUUUAACUGUCUCCUUUAACCAAUCAGUGAAACUGAUUUUUUAGUACAAAAGCUGAAAUAAGAACAUAAGACGAGAAGACCCUGUGGAGCUUAAAACUUUUAUUAAGCACACACACUAAGUGUGCCCAUAAGAAAAAGUUUUGAGUUGGGGCGACUUUGGAGCAAAACACAACCUCCAAGAAGAGGUACCACCCUAACAAGGCGCACAGGCCGAAACUACACGACCCAGUAUUACUGAUCAACGAACCAAGUUACCCCAGGGAUAACAGCGCCAUCUUCUUCAAGAGUUCAUAUCGACAAGAAGGUUUACGACCUCGAUGUUGGAUCAGGACACCCAAAUGGUGCAGCCGCUAUUAAAGGUUCGUUUGUUCAACGAUUAAUAGU